GGAUUAUUGGGCGUAAGCGAGCGCAGGCGGAAUGAUAAGUCUGAUGUGAAAGCCCACGGCUCAACCGUGGAACUGCAUCGGAAACUGUCAUUCUUGAGUGCAGAAGAGGAGAGUGGAACUCCAUGUGUAGCGGUGGAAUGCGUAGAUAUAUGGAAGAACACCAGUGGCGAAGGCGGCUCUCUGGUCUGCAACUGACGCUGAGGCUCGAAAGCAUGGGUAGCGAACAGGAUUAGAUACCCUGGUAGUCCAUGCCGUAAACGAUGAGCGCUAGGUGUUGGGGACUUUCCGGUCCUCAGUGCCGCAGCAAACGCAUUAAGCGCUCCGCCUGGGGAGUACGACCGCAAGGUUGAAACUCAAAGGAAUUGACGGGGGCCCGCACAAGCGGUGGAGCAUGUGGUUUAAUUCGAAGCAACGCGAAGAACCUUACCAGGUCUUGACAUCCUGCGCUACACCUAGAGAUAGGUGGUUCCCUUCGGGGACGCAGAGACAGGUGGUGCAUGGCUGUCGUCAGCUCGUGUCGUGAGAUGUUGGGUUAAGUCCCGCAACGAGCGCAACCCUUGUCUUUAGUUGCCAUCAUUAAGUUGGGCACUCUAAAGAGACUGCCGGUGACAAACCGGAGGAAGGUGGGGAUGACGUCAAGUCAUCAUGCCCCUUAUGACCUGGGCUACACACGUGCUACAAUGGGCAGUACAACGAGAAGCGAACCCGCGAGGGGUAAGCGGAUCUCUUAAAGCUGCUCUCAGUUCGGACUGCAGGCUGCAACUCGCCUGCACGAAGCUGGAAUCGCUAGUAAUCGCGGAUCAGCACACCGCGG
rnacentral:rRNA from 1 species